GAUGAAGAACGUAGCGAAAUGCGAUAAGUAAUGUGAAUUGCAGAAUUCAGUGAAUCAUCGAAUCUUUGAACGCAUCUUGCGCUCCUUGGUAUUCUGAGGAGCAUGCCUGUUUGAGUGUCAUUAAAUUCUCAACUACACUGACUUUGAAUUGGUGUGGCUUGGAUUUGGGGGGAAAAUUGUUGUGGGCUUUUUGUAUAGUCUGCUCCCCUGAAAUUGAUUAGCGGUACCUUUGUGGAACUGUCUACAGGUGUGAUAAUUAUCUACAUCUUAGACAUCUGCUGGAAUGCUGCUUUCUAAACCUUACCUGUAUUGACAAUCUUGACCUCAAAUCAGGUAGGACUACCCGCUGAACUUAAGCAUAUCAAUAAGCGGAGGA
rnacentral:misc_RNA from 1 species